rnacentral:rRNA from 1 species
GGGGAAUUUUCCGCAAUGGGCGAAAGCCUGACGGAGCAAGACCGCGUGGGGGAAGAAGGCUCUUGGGUUGUAAACCCCUUUUCUCUGGGAAGAAAGUUGUGAAAGCAGCCUGACGGUACCAGAGGAAUCAGCAUCGGCUAACUCCGUGCCAGCAGCCGCGGUAAGACGGAGGAUGCAAGCGUUAUCCGGAAUGAUUGGGCGUAAAGCGUCCGCAGGUGGCAGUUCAAGUCUGCUGUCAAAGACCGGGGCUCAACCUCGGAAAGGCAGUGGAAACUGAACAGCUAGAGUAUGGUAGGGGCAAAGGGAAUUCCUGGUGUAGCGGUGAAAUGCGUAGAGAUCAGGAAGAACAUCGGUGGCGAAGGCGCUUUGCUGGACCAUAACUGACACUCAGGGACGAAAGCUAGGGGAGCGAAUGGGAUUAGAUACCCCAGUAGUCCUAGCCGUAAACGAUGGAUACUAGGUGUUGUCUGUAUCGACCCGGACAGUGCCGUAGCUAACGC